AAAAAACCAGAUGGNNUCCCCUAAUUAUUUAUCCUCUCGUGUUUAUCCUUUUGUGUUACGGCUCAAAAUUCGGUUAUCUUUCU
rnacentral:tRNA from 1 species